rnacentral:piRNA from 1 species
CCAGACAAAAAUGUAGACGAGCU